rnacentral:rRNA from 1 species
AGUGAACGCUGGCGGUAGGCCUAACACAUGCAAGUCGAACGGCAGCACAGUUAGAGCUUGCUCUUACGGGUGGAGAGUGGCGGACGGGUGAGGAAUACAUCGGAAUCUACUUUUUCGUGGGGGAUAAAGUAGGGAUACUUCCGCUAAUACCGCAUACGACCUACGGGUGAAAGCAGGGGCUCUUCGGACCUUGCGCGAUUGCAUGAGCCGAUGUCGGAUUAGUUAGUUGGCGGGGUAAAGGCCCACCAAGGCGACGCUCCGUAGCUGGUGUGAGAGGGUGUUCAGCCACACUGGGACUGAAACACGGUCCAGGCUCCUACGGAAGGCAGCGGUGGGGAAGAGUGGACAAUGGGCGCAAGCCUGAUCCAGCCAUGCCGCGUGGGUGAAGAAGGCCUUCGGGUUGGAAAGCCCUUUUGUUGUGAAAGACAAGCAGCAGGUGAAACCCCCGCUUUUCUGACGGUACCCAAAGAAUAAGCACCGGCUAACUUCGUG